AAAAACAUGUCCUAUUGGAGUUUUAAUAGGUCUGGCCUGCCCACUGAGAAUUAAAGGGCCGCGGUAUUUUGACCGUGCGAAGGUAGCAUAAUCAUUAGUUUUUUAAUUGAAGGCUAGUAUGAAUGGUCGGACAAGAAAUAAGCUGUCUUUAUAAAAAUUAUUGAAUUUAACGUUUAAGUAAAAAGGCUUAAAUAAAUUAAGGGGACGAUAAGACCCUAUAAAGCUUUAUAAUUUUUUUAUUUUGUUAAGGAUAUAUUAUGGAAAUUAACUUAUUAGGGAAAUUAUUAUGUUGGGGCGACAAAAGUAAAAUUAAGUAUCUGCUUUAUUUUUUUAACAAUAAUUUUUGUAAAUAUUAAUUGAUCCUAAUUAAAGAUUAUAAGUUUAAGUUACUUUAGGGAUAACAGCGUAAUUUUUCCUGAGAGCUCAUAUCGAGGGGAAAGUUUGCGACC
rnacentral:rRNA from 1 species